ensembl:lncRNA
CUUUGCAAAGCAGUUGGACUAUAUGGCCCUCAGAGGUUACUUCGAAUUCUAAGGAUUCUAUGAUUCUGUUCUAUGCUGCCCUGUAACACCAGCAGUUCCUCCAGGUCUCUCAAGUUUAACCACUCCGGCCCUUGCAAGGAAAUUGCAAAGCCCCAUUUACCCAAAUGUUCACUUUCAGCAAACAUUUUAGAAGUUGUGUUGUGCAGGAAAUAGAACUCUGUCCCUUUUCCUGACUGAUGGGAUGUUUCUUGCCAGGUGCUCGCAGCUCUGUGUUCUGCCUUUCCAGCUGUCACUGCCUUCACUGGGGUUUGAAUACAGAGCUACUCAGCAGCCACAUGGGAGAAGACUGAGCAUCUUUCUAGACAAACAAUUUACUUGCAGUUUCGGUUUUGGAGUGUUUUGGCAUGCUGUUGUAAAUCUGCCUGCUCCAGCACAUCUUCAUUUUCCUUCAGCUUGGGGUCACUGCAAACGUACAUGGUGAUGUGAGCUGCAGGAUGUGCUUCUCCUCAAGGGGCAAAGGAAAGGCUUCUUUCUACGGAUGGACAGACUUUGUGCAGUUCUUCUGUACGUAUGGGGGAAUGUUACAGAAUUUCAAUAGGACCAGUUUAACUAUGAACAGCAAGGCAGCUGAGAUAGAGGGAAAAACAGCUUCCCGAAUGAAAUGGUGACCAUCAUAAGGAUGAUAUUAGUGGGCUUUGCCAGGUACUGCUUCUCUAAACCACGUCCCAGUAAAUGCUUUGCUGUGGACAGGGGUGGUUUCUGGUGUUUUUUUCCCUUUUUUUCUGCAGUUGUAAUGAUGCUUGGGGCAGAGCCUCCUAGAAAACACAAUGAUCCUCCCACCAGUGAAGAAAUGAGAUGUCAUGGAAAUUAUAACCACAAGUGGCAACUACACUCAGAGCAUAGGGGACCUGGAAGGCCACAGUCUGUUUCUCCGCUGUUAAUGUUCAGAAGUCUACUUGUCCAGCCUCCUGCUUGCUGUGAAACCCUUCCAGCCUCGAAUCUUUGUUAACUGUAUAGAUAUCUUUAAAAUAUCAGAAGAAUGGCUUUUGGAAGGACAAAAAACUGUAUUUAAGGCUGCAUUGCUUUUCUUUACGUCUUUCUUGUUGCUCAGUUAUUUUGUUUUCUGUGACUCAAGGCCUAAGAUUCACUGUACCAUUUGACACAUUUAGCUUCACAAAAGAGCCCCAUGGCUUGUAAUUAAUAAGAGAUGCUAUAAUCAUA